rnacentral:lncRNA from 1 species
AGACAGAGCUACAACCAGUGAGGGACAAAAGUGAGGCAGCUGCUGAAGAGUGCCUCCUUUGUUAAUGAGAGACACAAAAAAUAAGGGAGAAUAGGAUAGGCUCUGCUAGAAAAUGCAAAGAGGAAGAUAGAGGAGGGACAAACUUGCAUGGAGUAGGAACAUCUGGCCUGGACCUGGGAGGGUAAAGAAAGCUGAAAGGCUGAAUUGGUUUGAUCUAGAGAGGCAGUUAUGCAUAAGAGCAACCACUCUCUAUUGAAUUAGGAGAUCUCUCAUGCAACACAUCUCACCAAUUACAAGGUUUCCUGUGGAAGCCAAAGGAGGGCCUCGAUCCCCUGUAACUGGAGUCCCAGAUUCAAAUCCUUGAAGAAGAGAGAACUCAUGCUGAGCCACUUGUUUUGCAUCCCAAAAAGGACUCAGGAGGACUGUACAUCUAUUUAGUGACAGAAUUUUCCAUGCUCAAUAAAUUCUGCUGCUUG